rnacentral:lncRNA from 10 species
GUGAUCUUUAUUUUCUAGGUGGGGAACAAAGAGCUUGAGAGAUUUAUACCCCAGCCCAAGAUCCACAGUCAUUAAAUGGCAGGGCUCUAGUUCAAAUCCAGGUCAGUGUGAUUCCAGAGCUCACAGUCUCACCACUACUCUCUUCUAGAAUUUACAGUCUUCAUGCUUUGCUCUUCUCUCCUUCCCUCUCAAGACUGCAAUCAUGGAGCUGAUAGACUUAUUUUCACCAAAACAUAAAUGAUGGGCACAGCUUAUUAUGUUUUUUUUCUGGAUGCAUUUUGAAAUGACCAUUGGAUGUACUUCUUUUGCAUUUUUAUUGUGAAAUACAGAACCAGUUUUGGCACUUUAUCUGAAUACAGACAAUAUGGAGGCCUCAGGCUCAGAGGAUGGCAGAGUCUUCAGAUGGAUGGAGGGAGCUGCAGUCACUGAACCACUGCAGGGAGAGAAGUACUCACAGACCAGGAACGCUCAACUUGGACUGUUAUGUGACAGAAAGAACUUGAUGUAUACCUCCUGACCUGUUCAUCUUGUAGCUGCCUCUUGACAGCACAUGUUGGCACCUUUAGAAAGAUCUAGAAAUCCACGUGUUGUACGUAAAUCUGGGGCUGUUGUUACUGCAGAUGUACCUUCCACAACUUGAUUUUCUGUGAUGUCAAUUAUUCAGGAUACCUGACAGAAACUGAAAGUCUGUUUCCAGGAGCCUAAUCCUUGGCACAGGCAAUAUUUGUGGCCUAGGAACAUCAUAACUACUGUAGGUUCUUAUUUAAACCCUUCCUGGAUGGUGCUGGUUCUAAGAAGCUGAAGGACAGAGGUGAAAAGAGGAAAAACAUUCUUCUGAGAAUGAUGAGGUUAUACAAAAAGGAACUUUGGACACAGAGACAGACAUGCAUGGAAGGAAGAUGGCAUGAACACACACGGAAAGCACAGCCAUAUGGAAAUGGAGACAGAGAUUGGAACUGUACUGCCACAAGCCGAGGAAUGCCUGGAGCCACCAGAAGCUAGGAGAGAGGCAUGGAAUAAAUUCUCCUUCAUAAUCCUUAGAAGGAACCAACUCUGCCAACACUUUGACUUUGGACUUGUAGCCUCCAGAACUGAGACAAUAAUCUCCUGUUUAAGCCACCCAGCUUGAGGUAUUUUGUUAUAGCAGCCCUAGAGAAUUGACAUACUGUACUUGCAUCAAACCUAGGAACUUUCGAUGUUUACACCAAUCCUUCACUGGUUAUUUGAGAAACAAAUUUUCCGAGCUUCUAAAAUGCCCUGAACUCUAUUCUCCACUCUAUUUCCUCUGCACAGCUGUGGAUGUAUGACAGGUAAAUAUAGUCCCUGUUGGGAAGAUUCUCACUUGUUCAGAAAGGUUGAACUGUGUAAGUGAAGUGAAUUGCACGUGAAUUGUGACGUAGAUUACUUCACGUCAUGACCGGUAAAACCUUAGACCUGAAGAAUCUCCCAGAUGAAGGAAUAUUGACAGAUCUUAUAUAUGGGGAGUGUGUUGCUGUAAUAACCAAUUCAAAGCAGAAUAUUGCUUUUCUCCAAAGAAGAUUCAAAGAGGGAGUCAAUAACAUUAACCUUCACAUCAGCUAGUCCAAGAUGAAAUACUAGCUCAGACAUCGACUAAUCAAGAAUGUCUUGUCCCUUGUGUUCUUGUGUUGAGAAAUAACUUAGUUCAGUAUCUUUAAGAUUUAUUCACCUUGUAUUUGCACUGAUCACAUACAUUGAACUGCAAACUGGAGCCAAGAACUGUAUUUCUGAAGCUGAGCUGGUGAUAGACAGACUGUCUCUCAGUCCUUGGAGUCAAUCCAGCCAUCUUAAAUAUUGAAAUGUUUCUUUAUGAUGCUCUAGAGACAUUUUCAUCAUGCUGUAUUCUUUAGGAGCAGCUGAACCUAACAAUUGCAUCUGAAUGUUUUUCUAAGACAGGUAAAUUCUCUUAGUAAAAAUUACUUGAAAUGCUGGUAUGAAUGACUGACAGAAAACACCUACAUGGACAUUUAAGAAAUAUAAAUAAAAUACACCUGGUGAAAAGGGGAAAUAUGAAUAUUUUAACUUGACAUAUCUGUAUAAAAUAAAAAUAUUUUAUUAGAUAAAAUAAAAUAUAAAUAUUUUAACUUGACACAUGCAGGUAUGUGUAUACUUGUGUGCAUGUCUACAUUUUUACUUAAGUUCAGUUUAAGUAUCUAUAGAGAGAAGAUUGGAGGUGUAAAAGUCCAUUUCCAUCUUUAUCAGCACUUUAAACCAUUGUAGUCCUUUAUCAGUCAGAUAUUGUUAAUCACCAUCGAUACUACCAGUAGUGCUACUAUUACUAUAGUUACCAAGUACCAGGCAAUAUGAUAAUGGCUUCGUCUAUGCAAUGCUCUUUAUCCUUUUGACAACUCCAUGAAGUGUAUACCUUUGUCUCUAUUUUACAGAUGAGGACACUAAGGUUUAGAGAUAUUAAGUAGCUUGGACAAGAUCUCACAGUAAAUGGUGGAG